rnacentral:rRNA from 1 species
ACUCCUACGGGAGGCAGCAGUGAGGAAUAUUGGUCAAUGGAGGGAACUCUGAACCAGCCAUCCCGCGUGUAGGAAGACGGCCUUAUGGGUUGUAAACUACUUUUAUACAGGAAGAAACGUACCCUCGUGAGGGUGCCUGACGGUACUGUAGGAAUAAGCACCGGCUAACUCCGUGCCAGCAGCCGCGGUAAUACGGAGGGGUGCGAGCGUUAUCCGGAUUUAUUGGGGUUUAAAGGGUCCGUAGGCGGAUUAAUAAGUCAGUGGUGAAAUCCCAUCGCUUAACGAUGGAACUGCCAUUGAUACUGUUAGUCUUGAAUGAGGGUGCAGUGGUUGGAAUGUGUAGUGUAGCGGUGAAAUGCAUAGAUAUUACACAGAACACCGAUUGCGAAGGCAGAUCACUAACCCUAAAAUUGACGCUGAGGGACGAAAGCGUGGGGAGCGAACAGGAUUAGAUACCCUGGUAGCACAGAG